rnacentral:rRNA from 1 species
ACACAUGCAAGUCGAACGGUAACAGGGAGCUUGCUCCGCUGACGAGUGGCGAACGGGUGAGUAAUGCAUCGGAACGUACCCAGUCGUGGGGGAUAACGUAGCGAAAGUUACGCUAAUACCGCAUACGUCCUGAGGGAGAAAGCGGGGGACCGUAAGGCCUCGCGCGAUUGGAGCGGCCGAUGUCGGAUUAGCUAGUUGGUAGGGUAAAGGCCUACCAAGGCGACGAUCCGUAGCGGGUCUGAGAGGAUGAUCCGCCACACUGGGACUGAGACACGGCCCAGACUCCUACGGGAGGCAGCAGUGGGGAAUCUUGCGCAAUGGGCGAAAGCCUGACGCAGCGACGCCGCGUGAGUGAUGAAGGCCUUCGGGUUGUAAAGCUCUGUGGAGGGGGACGAAUAAGGGUUGGCUAACAUCCAGCUCGAUGACGGUACCCCUUUAGCAAGCACCGGCUAACUCUGUGCCAGCAGCCGCGGUAAGACAGAGGGUGCAAACGUUGUUCGGAAUUACUGGGCGUAAAGCGCGU